UAUUGCUAUUCUGGGAGGGCAGGCCUGCUCCUUUACUGUCAUCUCCUCUGCCAUCUUCUUUCUUUCCAGGACCUUCUCCCCGACCUGAUUGGAAAUAGUGGGGGGAUUGAGAGCGGUAGAUCUUUGAACGAAUGAAAUCCCGGCGGCCAGAGCGCCUUUCCUCUGGGCUCUCAUGACCCCAUGAGCCCUUUCUGGAGCCUGAUCUCUGAGAAGGGCUCCUGGUGCUGCGGCUCCGGUCCCGGCUAUAGCUUCGGCUUCGCUGCCAGCUGUGGGCUGUGGUGCUGCGACUUCUCCUCUUGCUUCGACUGCGACUACAGCUGCUACUGCGGCUUCGACCCCGGGAUCUUGAUCGCUCCCUUGUAUGACUCCGAGAUCGGCUUCGGGACUGGCUGCAACUGAGGCUAUAGUCAUCAUCAGAUGAUGAGUAUUUGUGUCGUUUAGACCUGUGUUUGGAGCUGGUAUAGUCUGAAUCAUCUGAAUCGUGAGAGCGCUUAGAGUGCCUUCGUGAUCGGUCGCUAUAGUCACUAUAGCUAUCAUCAGAGUAACUGUGCUGUCUACUAUAGCAGCUCUGGUCUGAAGAGGCAUCAGAGCUGCUAGAAUAAGAGCGCCGGGAGGAACGAUGUGAGGAAUGGCGAUGGCCAGACCGAGAGCGGCUACGAGAAUGCUCACUACCGGAGUCUUCAUCUUCCUCCUCUUCUUCCUCCUCCUCCUCUUCCUCCUCCUCACUGUACUGGGAUGGAGACUUCUGGUGCAGUCGGUGUGAGGAAGCAUCAUCACUAUCCUCAUCACCACUACUGGGUUGGCUCCGAUGGCUGGACCGGCUGCUAUGUUUGGUGUUAGCUCUCCGCUGGCAGGAGGAAGUUGGUGGUUCACCUUUGUGUUUCCUCCCACUGUGAUCUUGGCAACUGCUACCACCCCCACCAUCAUCCUUCUUGCCACUGUUUCCUUCUUCAGCAGGAAGGGAUCUCCGCUGGGAAUCAUCUUGAGCUCGGCGCCGCCUUCUCGGUGGUGCCGGGCUGCCGCUUCCAGGAGGUUCUGAUUUGGGUCCGCGUUCAGAAUCAGCUGCGGCUGAUGAUUUGUUCUUCUUCCGUUUUCGUUUCUUGCGCUUCUUAGAUUUCUCCCCAGACUCUGCCUUAGAACUCUUCUCUUCCGUGUCAGCCUUGUGUUUACGUUUGUGCUUGCUGGAUUUUUUGUGUUUCUUUUUCUUCUUGUGUCUGUGAGACUUGCCUGAUGGUUCUUUCUUGCUAGGAUGGCUUCUCCCAGUGUCUUCAGUUUCUGACAUAUGGCUACCCCCAGGCUCCUGCUUGUUCAGGCUGCUACAGGCAGCCCCUGAUGCAGGUUCAUCCACUCUGCCUUCUGAAGAGAGCACUACAUCCUGCUCCUCUUCCUGGCUUUUAUUCGGUUCUCUAGGAUCAAGGCUCUGGAGAUGAUCCUUUGAGGAGCCUGCGACAUCUUUUGGCUUUUCUGUCCCUUUAGCUUUAGCAUCUUUGUUUCUUGAAAGUUUAAAGUCAAAGUAUAAAGGAUUACAACUGUAGGAGAUGGAAGGCUCUGCUUUGGUGAAAAUGAGUAGUUCUGAUGGCCACUGGAGGGCAGUGCUUUCAUCCUUGCUUAAAACUGGAAAGAAUGGACCAGUAGGAUGCUUGGGUCCCUGGCCUGCUUUUGUUGCUGGGGUGGCCUGAGAAAUGUCUUUAGGAUUGGACUCACACAUCGGGCUCUCUGACGUCUCCCUACUCUCUACACUCUGCUCAUCUUCCCCUCCUCCGGAGCCUUUCUUUGUUUCAGUUUUACCUCCAGGCUCUGAAGGCCCAGCCACAGCGGCUUCCUUUUGCAGCUCAGAAGCUUCACUCACUGUUCUUUCUGCCCCUGGGCUUGCUGCUGUCUUACUACAGCCUUGCGGCUUGGGAGAGCUGCUUUUUCUGUUCUCGGGGGCACUCUUUGAGUGUGCACUAUGAUCCCCUUCCAUCUGUUCACUGGCUCUCAUAAAGAGUAAGAAGGGGAAAUUAGGUUUGACCUUGCAGUGUGCUGGGGGGAUGUAGUGGUAAUAUUCUGGCUCUGUAGCCCCUGUUCCUUCUUCCCGUUUCAUCCUUUUCAACUUGGACAGUGUUGAGGCAAGGGACCCUCCAUCCUGAGGGUCUUCAUCUUCUUUCUUUCCAUCAAGAUUACCAGUGCCAUCAGUAUCUCCCACCUUCUGCACCCCUUGGUCAGAGCUCUUCUCAUCAGCCUUCGUUCCAUCUUCUGAGCUCCCUUCCUCUGCAUGGUCCUUGAAAACGGAUGCUAUUGAUUCAAGUUUGACGGGAGCUUUCUUGGCAAAGGAAAAUGAUACUCCCAAUUUCUGCAGUGGGGGUCCCAGAUUAUUCUUAAUGCCAAAGCUAAUACCUUGGGAGGCUAAGCCAGGAGCCUGUGACAGUCCAGUGGUAUUAGUGAUCUGUACUGACGUGAAGGAGCCCCCUUUAUCUGUGGAGAAGUCGGCUCCAAAGCCACAAGAAGAAACAGCACUUGCACCACUGUUGGUUGAUGACUCAUCUUUAUCCUCUUCUCCACCAUCCUCGUCUACAGCCACCGUGGUUGGUCGGAACAUGGGCCCGCUUCCCGGUGCACUAUACAGUGGUUGAGAAAGUGAGAAAACAAAAGAGAGGAUUCGAGUUAUAGAUCUUAUAUAAAACAUUCGUCUUUUUUGUCCUUCCACUCAUCAUAGGUUGGUCUCAAAGAUCCAGAGUGGCUGUCCCUAGCAAUGUGCUGAUGAAUGGGACUUAUUGAACGGAGGUAGGCAAAGUUUCAUUUGGUUCAAGUACCAGGUUAAAUUCCCAAGGCCAGCAAGCUAUUGCUAUCCUUUAAGCUGUUUGCCCUACAAAAAGGCUCAACUUCUUUACCAAUAGCAUCUCACAGUUUCGUCUUUAAUCUGUUACCAAGCCUUUU
rnacentral:lncRNA from 1 species